rnacentral:tRNA from 1 species
GGUGGCUCAGUGGUAGAGUGCUUGCCUUUCAGCAUGAGGCCCUGGGUUCGAUUCCUCAGCACCA